rnacentral:rRNA from 1 species
AGAGUUUGCUCCUGGCUCAGGACGAACGCUGGCGGCGCGCCUAACACAUGCAAGUCGAACGAGCGAGAGAGAGCUUGCUUUCUCGAGCGAGUGGCGAACGGGUGAGUAACGCGUGAGGAACCUGCCUCAAAGAGGGGGACAACAGUUGGAAACGACUGCUAAUACCGCAUAAGCCCACGACCCGGCAUCGGGUUGAGGGAAAAGGAGCAAUCCGCUUUGAGAUGGCCUCGCGUCCGAUUAGCUAGUUGGUGAGGUAAUGGCCCACCAAGGCGACGAUCGGUAGCCGGACUGAGAGGUUGAACGGCCACAUUGGGACUGAGACACGGCCCAGACUCCUACGGGAGGCAGCAGUGGGGAAUAUUGCACAAUGGGGGAAACCCUGAUGCAGCGACGCCGCGUGGAGGAAGAAGGUCUUCGGAUUGUAAACUCCUGUUGUUGAGGAAGAUAAUGACGGUACUCAACAAGGAAGUGACGGCUAACUACGUGCCAGCAGCCGCGGUAAAACGUAGGUCACAAGCGUUGUCCGGAAUUACUGGGUGUAAAGGGAGCGCAGGCGGGAAGACAAGUUGGAAGUGAAAUCUAUGGGCUCAACCCAUAAACUGCUUUCAAAACUGUUUUUCUUGAGUAGUGCAGAGUAGGCGGAAUUCCCGGUGUAGCGGUGGAAUGCGUAGAUAUCGGGAAGAACACCAGUGGCGAAGGCGGCCUACUGGGCACCAACUGACGCUGAGGCUCGAAAGUGUGGGUAGCAAACAGGAUUAGAUACCCUGGUAGUCCACACCGUAAACGAUGAUUACUAGGUGUUGGAGGAUUGACCCCUUCAGUGCCGCAGUUAACACAAUAAGUAAUCCACCUGGGGAGUACGACCGCAAGGUUGAAACUCAAAGGAAUUGACGGGGGCCCGCACAAGCAGUGGAGUAUGUGGUUUAAUUCGACGCAACGCGAAGAACCUUACCAAGUCUUGACAUCCCUUGACGAACAUAGAAAUAUGUUUUCUCUUCGGAGCAAGGAGACAGGUGGUGCAUGGUUGUCGUCAGCUCGUGUCGUGAGAUGUUGGGUUAAGUCCCGCAACGAGCGCAACCCUUACUGUCAGUUACUACGCAAGAGGACUCUGGCAGGACUGCCGUUGACAAAACGGAGGAAGGUGGGGAUGACGUCAAAUCAUCAUGCCCUUUAUGACUUGGGCUACACACGUACUACAAUGGCGUUAAACAAAGAGAAGCAAGACCGCGAGGUGGAGCAAAACUCAGAAACAACGUCCCAGUUCGGACUGCAGGCUGCAACUCGCCUGCACGAAGUCGGAAUUGCUAGUAAUCGUGGAUCAGCAUGCCACGGUGAAUACGUUCCCGGGCCUGUACACACCGCCCGUCAA